GAAGUAGUAUCAUACACUGGCCUUUUCAAGUACUUAGAUGGCCACUAUUACAGAUAUAGGUGGUAUCUAUACUUUAACCCUUCUUCAAUCUUCAGCAAAUAUCUUUAUAUAGUGGAUAUGAUAUCUCAACAAUAGAUCUCAACUCAUUUAAGGUGAAAUCCAUACUUAGAUACCACAUUACCCGUAGCCCAAUUGCAUGGCAACACGUAUUAAUCCUUGUUCAUCCUCUUCAUUCAAGCAUGAUAUACACAUACCCACAAGAAGGUUCACAAUUGCAUCAUCUAGAACAUAUCGUACUUCCAAAUGGGUCUCUCAGAUAUCUUCAGGAAUCCAUUCAAAAAGGCAUUUGGAGCUCAAAUCCUCAAAUGGGUAUCCACUAAAUGCUGUUCCUUUGCAGGAUGGAAAUCCUCUGACCGAAGAUCACAUUGCACCUCACCUGAAAGAGAGGCCAUUUAUCUCAGGAUCAGAAAGCCCAGAGUCUACUCUCAGCAUAACAGUUGUCGGCGCCUCAGGAGACCUUGCAAAGAAGAAAAUUUUUCCAGCACUUUUUGCUCUUUUCUAUGAAGAUUGGCUGCCUGAGAAUUUUACAGUUUUUGGUUAUGCUCGAACUAAAAUGACAGAUGAGGAGCUAAGGGACAUGAUUAGCAAAACCUUGACUUGCAGAAUUGAUAAGAGUGCAAAUUGUGGUGACAAGAUGGACCAGUUCUUAAAAAGAUGCUUUUACCAUUCGGGUCAGUACAGCUCUGAGGAGCAUUUUGCAGAAUUGGACAAGAAGCUAAAAGAGAAAGAAGGUGGAAAACUACCAAAUAGGUUAUUUUACUUAUCAAUACCUCCAAACAUCUUUGUGGAUGUGGUGAGAUGUGCUAGUCUCAGAGCUUCUUCGGCAAGUGGAUGGACAAGGGUCAUUGUUGAAAAGCCUUUUGGCCGUGAUUCACAGUCAUCUGGAGAGCUCACUAGAUCCUUGAAGAAGUACCUCAAUGAGGACCAAAUAUUCAGGAUUGACCAUUACUUGGGGAAGGAGCUGGUUGAGAAUCUGUCAGUACUUCGAUUCUCAAAUCUUGUUUUUGAGCCUUUAUGGUCCAGGAAUUACAUCCGCAAUGUGCAGCUGAUAUUUUCUGAAGAUUUUGGCACAGAGGGACGGGGAGGAUACUUUGAUAACUAUGGUAUCAUCCGAGAUAUAAUGCAAAAUCAUCUCCUUCAGAUACUAGCACUAUUCGCAAUGGAGACACCUGUCAGCUUAGAUGCUGAGGACAUUAGAAAUGAAAAGGUCAAGGUUUUGAGGUCAAUGAGACCACUGCAGCUUGAAGACGUGAUUGUGGGCCAAUACAAAGGCCAUAGCAAGGGUGGCCAAUCAUAUCCUGCUUAUACUGAUGAUCCAACUGUGCCAAAAGGCAGUAUCACCCCAACUUUUGCAGCUGCAGCUCUCUUUAUUAAUAAUGCCCGAUGGGAUGGGGUUCCUUUCUUGAUGAAGGCAGGCAAAGCUCUCCAUACUAGGCGAGCAGAGAUCAGAGUGCAGUUCAGACAUGUCCCAGGUAACUUGUACAAGCGGAACUUUGGGACUGAUUUAGACAAGGCUACAAAUGAGCUUGUGCUUCGCGUGCAACCAGAUGAAGCAAUUUACUUGAAGAUUAACAACAAGGUUCCUGGUCUUGGAAUGAAACUGGACCGUAGUGAUCUUAAUCUCCUAUACAGAGCGAGGUAUCCAAGAGGAAUACCAGAUGCUUAUGAGAGGCUGCUCUUAGAUGCAAUAGAAGGAGAACGAAGGUUGUUCAUUAGAAGUGAUGAGCUUGAUGCUGCUUGGGCACUAUUCACACCAUUGUUGAAGGAAUUGGAAGAGAAGAAGAUCAUUCCAGAGCUCUACCCCUAUGGUAGCAGGGGACCAGUUGGAGCACAUUAUCUUGCUGCAAAGCAUAAUGUUCGAUGGGGAGAUCUCAGUGGCGAGGAAUUGUAAUAGUGAAAAGCUCCACUCUAGGAUUUUGCAUGAUCAUGGUGGCUUCCAGUUUCAAAACCUUCACUGGGUAACCAUCAGUUUAUCACUUUCUAGCCAAACUUGUUGGCCAAAACGUCCUAGUAACACAGCUGAAGCAGGAGUACAAAAGGCAUAUAGCGAUGCAAAACUGCCUGAUAGUCCAGGGUGGAGAGAGUCUGUAGGAGGCGUAUAAGAAGGUUUAAGUGUUUGUGAUAUGUGUGUAACAUGGCAUUGUUAAGUAGGUAUAGACAUAUUCAUGGUUAUGGAGUAUGCAGCACUGUAAAAUACAAUAUCCCAUUUUUCCGAACUUGUCAAUAACAA